rnacentral:snRNA from 1 species
GUGUUCACUUCGGCAGCACAUAUAUUAAAAAUUGGAACGAUACAGAGAAGAUUAGCAUGGCCCCUGCGCAAGGAUGACACACAAAUUUGUGAAGCGUUCCAAAGACAG